UACAGAGGGUGCAAGCGUUGUUCGGAAUUAUUGGGAGUAAAGCGCGUGUAGGCGGCUUUGCAAGUCGGGUGUGAAAGCCCUCAGCUUAACUGAGGAAGUGCGCCCGAAACUGCUUGGCUUGAGUACCUGAGAGGAUGGCGGAAUUCCCCAAGUAGAGGUGAAAUUCGUAGAUAUGGGGAGGAACACCGGUGGCGAAGGCGGCCAUCUGGACGGAUACUGACGCUGAGACGCGAAAGCGUGGGUAUCAAACAGG
rnacentral:rRNA from 1 species